rnacentral:tRNA from 1 species
CAAAUUAGAGCUUGUUAAGUUUUUUAUUUACAUUAAAAAGAAGGUUGUUAGUUCAAUUUAAUUUGA